AGUUCUUUUGUUUUGUUGUUUGUAUCUCUUGGAUGGAGUAUAGCUUUGGAAUUCAUCGGAGCGCAAAGUUUGUUUUUUUGCUUGAUGACUUUGAUUUGGUCAAAUCAUUGUGUGAAAUUUUAAGUAUUUUUUAUUGAAUCUGUAGAAGUUUUUUAGGCUAAUGAAGUUAUCCAUUGAUCAUGAACAAGACUAGGGUUUUUAGAAAACUAGCCGUUGAAGUUGUUUAAGGUUAAUAAAGUUACGUAAUGACAAGUUCUCUCUUGGUUGUAGGUUCUGUUUUGACUGCAAAUGUGAUGGGUUGUGUCUACUCAGAUUUUAUGAUAUGUGAUACGGAGAUCAAGGUAUGGAAGAAGAUCAAGAGUCAAGACAGUGAAGUGGGAAUUGCUUGGAAUGAGACAACAAUAUAAGUUCUUGGAGGGAGAGAAAGAGCAACUUAUGAUGUUCUUUGUGACCUUGUUUUAACAAAUAGGGAAUGAUGAACUACUUUGUAUAAUUACAAUUAUGUAUCUUUUGAUGAUCUAUGGAAAGAAGCAUGCUUUUAACAAAUUGGUUUUAUAGCAUAUAAUUAAUUAUAUUUUUAAUUAAUAUAUCUGGAAUAAUAUUGCAAUUUAUCAUUUAAUAAUGUAGCAUAUAAAAAUUGCUACAAAACAAUAAAAUAUAGCAAAAAUUAUGAGUUACCAAAAAGUAUAUUAAAACAAUCGAUUAGUGCUAUAAUAGAACGAUCUAUGAUAGCACACAAAUAAACCGCUAUCGUAUGUGGGGGUCUACCAUAACAGGGGCAUAACAUAGCAUUUAUGAAACGUUAUUGAUGACAUAUAAUAGCUUUUAUCUCUUGCUAAUAAUGUACAUAUUUCUU
rnacentral:lncRNA from 1 species